GAAGAGCUUGCGUCACAUUAGUUAGUUGGUGGGGUAAUGGCCUACCAAGACGAUGAUGUGUAGCCGGGCUGAGAGGUCGAACGGCCACAUUGGGACUGAGACACGGCCCAAACUCCUACGGGAGGCAGCAGUAAGGAAUUUUCGGCAAUGGAGGAAACUCUGACCGAGCAAUGCCGCGUGAACGAUGAAGUAUUUCGGUACGUAAAGUUCUUUUAUUAGGGAAGAAAAGAUGGUGGAAAAACCAUUAUGACGGUACCUAAUGAAUAAGCCCCGGCUAACUAUGUGCCAGCAGCCGCGGUAAUACAUAGGGGGCAAGCGUUAUCCGGAAUUAUUGGGCGUAAAGGGUGCGUAGGCGGUUAAAUAAGUUUAUGGUCUAAGUGCAACGCUCAACGUUGUGAUGCUAUAAAAACUGUUUAGCUAGAGUUGGAUAGAGGCAAGUGGAAUUCCGUGUGUAGUGGUAAAAUGCGUAAAUAUACGGAGGAACACCAGAAGCGAAGGCGGCUUGCUGGGUCUUAACUGACGCUGAGGCACGAAAGCGUGGGGAGCAAACAGGAUUAGAUACCCUGGUAGUCCACGCCCUAAACGAUGAGUACUAAACGUUGGAUAAAACCAGUGUUGAAGUUAACACAUUAAGUACUCCGCCUGAGUAGUACGUACGCAAGUAUGAAACUUAAAGGAAUUGACGGGACUCCGCACAAGCGGUGGAUCAUGUUGUUUAAUUCGAAGGUACCCGAAAAACCUCACCAGGUCUUGACAUGCUUUUGCAAAGCUGUAGAAAUACAGUGGAGGUUAUCAGAAGCACAGGUGGUGCAUGGUUGUCGUCAGCUCGUGUCGUGAGAUGUUGGGUUAAGUCCCGCAACGAGCGCAACCCUUGUUGUUAAUUGCCAUCAUUAAGUUGGGGACUUUAGCAAGACUGCCAAUGAUAAAUUGGAGGAAGGUGGGGACGACGUCAAAUCAUCAUGCCCCUUAUGACCUGGGCUACAAACGUGAUACAAUGGCUGUUACAAAGGGUAGCUAAAGCGUAAGCUUCUGGCGAAUCUCAAAAAAGCAGUCUCAGUUCGGAUUGAAGUCUGCAACUCGACUUC
rnacentral:rRNA from 1 species